GAUGAACGCUGGCGGCGUGCCUAAUACAUGCAAGUCGAGCGAACAGACGAGGAGCUUGCUCCUCUGACGUUAGCGGCGGACGGGUGAGUAACACGUGGAUAACCUACCUAUAAGACUGGGAUAACUUCGGGAAACCGGAGCUAAUACCGGAUAACAUGUUGAACCGCAUGGUUCAACAGUGAAAGACGGUCUUGCUGUCACUUAUAGAUGGAUCCGCGCCGCAUUAGCUAGUUGGUAAGGUAACGGCUUACCAAGGCAACGAUGCGUAGCCGACCUGAGAGGGUGAUCGGCCACAUUGGAACUGAGACACGGUCCAGACUCCUACGGGAGGCAGUAGUAGGGAAUCUUCCGCAAUGGGCGAAAGCCUGACGGAGCAACGCCGCGUGAGUGAAGAAGGUCUUCGGAUCGUAAAACUCUGUUAUUAGGGAAGAACAAAUGUGUAAGUAACUAUGCACGUCUUGACGGUACCUAAUCAGAAAGCCACGGCUAACUACGUG
rnacentral:rRNA from 1 species